GACGAACGCUGGCGGCGUGCUUAACACAUGCAAGUCGAGCGGUAAGGCCCUUUCGGGGGUACACGAGCGGCGAACGGGUGAGUAACACGUGGGUGACCUGCCCUCAGCUCUGGGAUAAGCCUGGGAAACCGGGUCUAAUACUGGAUAUGACUCCAUGACGCAUGUUGUGGGGUGGAAAGCCUUGUGCGGCUGAGGAUGGGCCCGCGGCCUAUCAGCUUGUUGGUGGGGUGANGGCCUACCAAGGCGACGACGGGUAGCCGGCCUGAGAGGGCGACCGGCCACACUGGGACUGAGACACGGCCCAGACUCCUACGGGAGGCAGCAGUGGGGAAUCUUGCGCAAUGGGCGAAAGCCUGACGCAGCGACGCCGCGUGAGGGAUGACGGCCUGGUGUAACUAC
rnacentral:rRNA from 1 species